UACGAAGGGUGCAAGCGUUAAUCGGAAUUACUGGGCGUAAAGGGUGCGUAGGCGGUUCGUUAAGUCUGUCGUGAAAGCCCCGGGCUUAACCUGGGAAUGGCCGUUGAAACUGGCGAACUGGAGUGUGGCAGAGGGGGGUGGAAUUCCGCGUGUAGCAGUGAAAUGCGUAGAGAUGCGGAGGAACACCGAUGGCGAAGGCAGCCCCCUGGGCUAACACUGACGCUCAGGCACGAAAGCGUGGGGAGCAAACAGG
rnacentral:rRNA from 1 species